rnacentral:rRNA from 1 species
AGACCCGAAACCCGGUGAUCUAGCCAUGGGCAGGUUGAAGGUUGGGUAACACUAACUGGAGGACCGAACCGACUAAUGUUGAAAAAUUAGCGGAUGACCUGUGGCUGGGGGUGAAAGGCCAAUCAAACCGGGAGAUAGCUGGUUCUCCCCGAAAGCUAUUUAGGUAGCGCCUCGUGAAUUCAUCUCCGGGGGUAGAGCACUGUUUCGGCUAGGGGGCCAUCCCGGCUUACCAACCCGAUGCAAACUGCGAAUACCGGAGAAUGUUAUCACGGGAGACACACGGCGGGUGCUAACGUCCGUCGUGAAGAGGGAAACAACCCAGACCGCCAGCUAAGGUCCCAAAGUCAUGGUUAAGUGGGAAACGAUGUGGGAAGGCCCAGACAGCCAGGAUGUUGGCUUAGAAGCAGCCAUCAUUUAAAGAAAGCGUAAUAGCUCACUGGUCGAGUCGGCCUGCGCGGAAGAUGUAACGGGGCUAAACCAUGCACCGAAGCUGCGGCAGCGACACUGUGUGUUGUUGGGUAGGGGAGCGUUCUGUAAGCCUGUGAAGGUGUGUCGUGAGGCAUGCUGGAGGUAUCAGAAGUGCGAAUGCUGACAUAAGUAACGAUAAAGCGGGUGAAAAGCCCGCUCGCCGGAAGACCAAGGGUUCCUGUCCAACGUUAAUCGGGGCAGGGUGAGUCGACCCCUAAGGCGAGGCCGAAAGGCGUAGUCGAUGGGAAACGGGUUAAUAUUCCCGUACUUGGUGUUACUGCGAAGGGGGGACGGAGAAGGCUAUGUUGGCCGGGCGACGGUUGUCCCGGUUUAAGCGUGUAGGUGUGUGUUCCAGGUAAAUCCGGUUCACUUUAACACUGAGGCGUGACGACGAGGCACUACGGUGCUGAAGCAACAAAUGCCCUGCUUCCAGGAAAAGCCUCUAAGCAUCAGGUAACAUCAAAUCGUACCCCAAACCGACACAGGUGGUCAGGUAGAGAAUACCAAGGCGCUUGAGAGAACUCGGGUGAAGGAACUAGGCAAAAUGGUGCCGUAACUUCGGGAGAAGGCACGCUGACACGUAGGUGAAGUGAUUUACUCAUGGAGCUGAAGUCAGUCGAAGAUACCAGCUGGCUGCAACUGUUUAUUAAAAACACAGCACUGUGCAAACACGAAAGUGGACGUAUACGGUGUGACGCCUGCCCGGUGCCGGAAGGUUAAUUGAUGGGGUCAGCGCAAGCGAAGCUCCUGAUCGAAGCCCCGGUAAACGGCGGCCGUAACUAUAACGGUCCUAAGGUAGCGAAAUUCCUUGUCGGGUAAGUUCCGACCUGCACGAAUGGCGUAAUGAUGGCCAGGCUGUCUCCACCCGAGACUCAGUGAAAUUGAACUCGCUGUGAAGAUGCAGUGUACCCGCGGCAAGACGGAAAGACCCCGUGAACCUUUACUAUAGCUUGACACUGAACAUUGAGCCUUGAUGUGUAGGAUAGGUGGGAGGCUUUGAAGUGUGGACGCCAGUCUGCAUGGAGCCGACCUUGAAAUACCACCCUUUAAUGUUUGAUGUUCUAACGUGGACCCGUUACCCGGGUUGCGGACAGUGUCUGGUGGGUAGUUUGACUGGGGCGGUCUCCUCCUAAAGAGUAACGGAGGAGCACGAAGGUUGGCUAAUCCUGGUCGGACAUCAGGAGGUUAGUGCAAUGGCAUAAGCCAGCUUGACUGCGAGCGUGACGGCGCGAGCAGGUGCGAAAGCAGGUCAUAGUGAUCCGGUGGUUCUGAAUGGAAGGGCCAUCGCUCAACGGAUAAAAGGUACUCCGGGGAUAACAGGCUGAUACCGCCCAAGAGUUCAUAUCGACGGCGGUGUUUGGCACCUCGAUGUCGGCUCAUCACAUCCUGGGGCUGAAGUAGGUCCCAAGGGUAUGGCUGUUCGCCAUUUAAAGUGGUACGCGAGCUGGGUUUAGAACGUCGUGAGACAGUUCGGUCCCUAUCUGCCGUGGGCGCUGGAGAACUGAGGGGGGCUGCUCCUAGUACGAGAGGACCGGAGUGGACGCAUCACUGGUGUUCGGGUUGUCAUGCCAAUGGCACUGCCCGGUAGCUAAAUGCGGAAGAGAUAAGUGCUGAAAGCAUCUAAGCACGAAACUUGCCCCGAGAUGAGUUCUCCCUGAGACUUAAAGUCUCCUGAA